UACAACAGCAGUGAUGCCCAUACCUGCAAGAGAAAGUGAUUAGUAACCAUAAAACUGGCGAUUGGAGACAGAUAUAUGGUGAGAGAUUUCUGUUUCAGUAUGUGAUAUUAAGUAUCUUUUAUUUAUUAAUUUAGAACUUUAUAUUGGAAGUGCAGGGUGUUAACUGUUAAGUGUUACUGUCUUGAGGUUCCGUGAUCAAAAACUGCAUACUCUUACCGGCCAUCUACUAGCUGGGCUGAGUUCUCUUACUCCUAUUUGUGCUUCAUCGAAAAACAUCCUUGCCCUCUUAAUUUGCUUCUUCAUGAAAUUCCUCCAUUUAUCGGUAACCUUCCCCGCAAAUAUAUCUUCAUCAGAAAGCCCUGCUUGAGCCAGUUCAUCUUGUGGUAGAUAAACCCUUCCUCUUCUGGCACUAACAGAAAACAAACAUAAUAAAAGAGCACAAAUCAGCAAAUAGAGGUGAAAAACUCCUUUGCAUUUGGAUAGACAGCAUUUUGUACUAGGUAAUUAUCACGUUAGGAUUGCAAGGACUUUGCAACAAAGCUAAAGACAGUAACGUAGCAAAAAAAAAACAAAACAAACUAAAGACAGUAAACGUGUUCGUAAUUUGUGUUUUACUGAAUAACAUCACUAGAUUUAACGAUGCAAUUUUGUUCAUCAAAAUUGAUAAACGAUCAUUCAACUAUACGCUACCCUCUUCGAUUGCUUUUAAGAACAAAAUGAAAAUUGUAAAAGAUUGACAAUAUGGGUUUAAGAGCCAGAUGCAUACUCUUCUCCAACAUCCCUGAGUAUGUUAGUCAAUUGAUUAGCGAGCCCUAAAGCCAAAGCAGCAUUAUAAACACUCUCCGUUGUUGCCUGUGAAUUAGGUGCAAUGCCCAUAAUUGGAACGCUCAUCAAUCCAACAGUACCAGCAACAUAAUAGCAAUAAAGAUAUAGCUCGUCGAAGUUUUUGUAUCUCGACUUCUUAAGGUCCAUCCUCAUCCCUUCAAUCAUAUCUUUGAAUGGCUAAAAAGAAGACAUCUAUCAGAGUUUGUAAGCAUAAAAUGUUACUGUACAACAUAAAAAAUCAAACUCCGGACAUAAUAUCCAACUUUCUUGACCAUGAGCAGAAACAACAGAAUAUUAUGCAAAGAUGGGGGAAACUUCCUAAACUCGAUUGUGCAGAUUAAGGAUACUUAUAUAUCUAUUAAAACAUAUGUCUUAACAAGUAGAAUGUAGUAGCGUUACUAAUGUAGGCCACUUCAAAGAACAAAUGUUCACAAAGGUUGUUGAUAUAGUGGAUAUAACUCCACACUGAUUGUUGCUACCAUAAUGCAGACUUCACAUGAAGGACUUUAAAAGUCAAUCUAUAGAUGUUGUAAAACAGCUAAAUACUAAUUCAUUUGAUUAAAUGGCAGCUGAAAUGGUGUUGCCUAUACUGCCCAAUGUUGUAAAAUAUUAAUCAGAACUUGGCUGAUGAUUUUGAAAAGUGGAUUUAAGCUGAACCUUAAGCAUCAAUAUUGCUAAAAUGAAUACAGCAGAUGAAAAUAUUGUAGCAGUCAAGCAAUUCAGUGUACUAACUUGGAUGUCAACAGGAAACUUCAUUACUGUAUCUGAUAAAGCAGCAUCAAGCAUAUCAAAUGGACGCCCCUUGAAAAGAUCUUCUAAUCUCAACUCCCACCUAUCCAAAGCUGAAGGAGUUAUAUGUGACGCAUUAGG
rnacentral:lncRNA from 1 species